GUCCACGCUGUAAACGAUGACGACUAGGUGUGGGGUGGUUCAGUCCAUUCCGUGCCGCAGCUAACGCAUUAAGUCGUCCGCCUGGGGAGUACGGCCGCAAGGUUGAAACUCAAAGGAAUUGACGGGGGCCCGCACAAGCGGUGGAGCAUGUGGUUCAAUUCGAUGCAGAGCGAAGAACCUUACCUGGGCUUGACAUGCUGGAAGUAGGACCCCGAAAGGGGAACGACCUGUUAAGUCAGGAGCCAGCACAGGUGGUGCAUGGCUGUCGU
rnacentral:rRNA from 1 species